rnacentral:lncRNA from 1 species
UUUUCUCUCUUCUCCCAUUUGAGAAUUCUUAAGGAAUUCUAUUUGUUUGUAAUAUUUUGGAGAUAGUAAAGUUAUCAUCUGGUUUUAGUAGCCCGAGGACGUAGGUAUAAUUUACCGAACCUCGUUAAAACUCUUGUGUUCUUUUUGUCCUAUUUUUCUUUCAAUAAUUGAGGGUAUAAUAGUAGUAUUUAAUUGUGCUAUUAAAUUACAUUAGAAGGAAUAUUCUGACUAAGGAAAGACUUGGUAUUUAAGAGAUCCUUGUGAUCCACCUCUCUUCCCUGGGAAUUGAACUUUGUGUGAUUUUUUAGUACAAUAAUUUACACGCUUCCGACCCUAUUGGAACUACAAGUGGUAUCAGAGCCGAAGGUUAAUCGUAGUAUGCUCUGUGGUUGCAGUUUGAACUGAUCUUCCACAUCAGAAAAGAUUUCCUUAGGUAUAUUGAAAGAUUAUGGAGAAAACGGUCGGUGUAGGAGCUUCAACAUGUCCAUGUGGACAAGACCGACAAUUGCAAAUGCAAGACUGGCCGUGGAGAUCUUUGAUGGCACGGGCCAUUUUGGUAUGUGGCAAAGUGAGGUUCUAGAUGCUCUUUUUCAGCAGGGUCUAGACAUUGCCAUUGAUGAAGAGAAACCAGAUGAUGUACAGGAGAAAGAUUGGAAGGCGAUCAAUCGGUUGGCAUGUGGCACAAUUCGAUCAUGCCUUUCUCGAGAGCAGAGGUAUGCUUUUUCAAAGGAGACUUCUGCAAAUAAGUUGUGGGUGGCACUUGAAGAAAAAUUUUUGAAGAAAAACAGUCAAAAUAAGCUCCACUUGAAGAAAAGACUGUUUCGCUUCACAUACGUCCCAAGUACCACAAUGAAUGAUCACAUCACCAAAUUUAAUCAGUUAGUCACUGAUUUGCUGAAUAUGGAUGAGACAUUCAAAGAUGAAGAUUUGGCUUUGAUGCUGUUGGGGUCACUUCCUGAGGAGUUUGAGUUCCUAGAAACUACUCUACUUCAUGGCAGGAGUGGUAUAUCUCUGAGCGAAGUCUGUGCGGCCUUAUACAGUUAUGAACAGAGAAAGAAGGACAAACAGAAAAACUCAAUCAGAGAUACAGAAGCUUUAGUAGUCCAAGGUCGUUCAUACACUCGGAAGAAAACUCAAAAGGGGAGAUCAAAGUUAAAGUCCAGACUCGGGAAAGAUGAAUGUGCCUUUUGUCAUGAGAAAGGCCACUGAAAGAAAAAUUGUCCAAAGCUGAAGAAUAAGGGAAAAGCUGCUGUAGAUGCUUGUGUUGCAAAGCAUGAUACUAGUGACUCUGAACUAUCACUGGUUGCAUCAUCAUCGUCGUUCCAUUCAGAUGAGUGGAUAUUGGAUUCGGGUUGUACCUUUCAUAUGUCCCCUAACCGGGAGUGGUUCUCUGAUUUAGUAGAACUAAAUGGAGGAGUUGUUUAUAUGGGCAAUGACAAUGCCUGUAAAACUGUUGGGAUAGGUUCAAUCUAAUUAAAGAAUCAAGAUGGAUCAACCAAAGUUCUGACUGAUGUUCGGUACGUGCCCAGUUUGAAGAAAAAUCUCAUCUCAUUGGGAGCCUUGGAAUCCAAUGGUUCAGUUGUUACUAUGAGAGAUGGGAUUUUGAAAGUGACAUCUGGCGCACUUGUGAUAUUGAAGGGCAUCAGGAAAAAUAGCUUGUAUUACUACCAAGGUAGUACAGUUAUUGGAGCAGUCGCUACAGCUUCCGUUAACAAAGAAUUGGACUCAAUACAGUUGUGGCAUCUGAAGUUGGGACAUGCCAGCGAAAAAUCCUUGCAAAUUCUGGCAAAGCAAGGAUUGUUGAAAGGUGCAAAGGCUUACAAAUUAAAAUUUUGCGAGCAUUGUGUUCUGGGAAAGCAAAAGAGAGUGAAAUUCGGUACUGCUAUCCAUAAUACAAAAGGUAUUUUGGAAUAUGUUCACUCAGAUGUGUGGGGGCCUUUCAAGACACCUUCAUUGGGAGGAAAACACUACUUUGUUACUUUUGUUGAUGACUUUUCCAGAAGAGUUUGGGUGUAUACCAUGAGAACUAAGGAUGAAGUGCUUAGAGUUUUUUUUAAAUGGAAAACUAUGAUCGAAAACCAGACUGGCAAGAAAAUCAAGCGGCUUAGGACGGACAAUGGAGGGGAAUAUAAAAGUGAUCCGUUCUUCGAUGUGUGCCAAGAGUAUGGUAUUGUUCGACACUUCACAGUUAGGGAUACACCACAGCAGAAUGGAUUGGCAGAGCGUAUGAAUCGAAUAUUGCUGGAGAAAGUUCGAUCUAUGUUGUCCAAUGCUGGGUUGGGCAAGCAAUUUUGGGCUGAGGCUGUGACAUACGCUGGCCAUCUUGUUAAUCGUUUGCCAUCAUCUGCAUUAGAAAGAAAAACUCCUAUGGAGGUAUGGUCUGGAAAACCGGCUACAGAUUAUGAUUCCUUACAUGUGUUUGGAACCACUGCAUAUUACCAUGUGAAGGAGUCAAAGUUAGAUCCGAGGGCAAAGAAAGCUCUCUUUAUGGGAAUCACUUCUAGAGUGAAGGGAUUUCGUCUUUGGUGCUUAAGCACAAAGAAAAUGAUCUGUAGCAGAGAUGUUACCUUUGAUGAAUCUGCCACAUUGAAAAAGGUAGCAGAUAAAGAUAUUCAGACGAGCAAUACUCCACAGCAGGUGGAGUGUACUCCAAAACAGGUGGAGUUUGAGCAGAUGGGGAUUUGCCCAGUUAAUAAGUCUAAUUCUCCAGCCACAAUGGAGGAAUUAGAGGUUGAAGAGGUUCUGACCCAAGAACCACUAAGUACACCAGAACUAGUUGCAGUUGCAAGGCCACAGAGAGAAAUUCGUAAACCUGCUCGAUUUACUAAUAUGGUGGCCUACGCCCUUCCCGUUGUUGAUGAUAUUCCUAUCACUUAUCAAGAAGCAAUGCAAAGCUUAGAAAAUGAUAAAUGGAAAAGCGCCAUGGAUGAAGAAAUGCAGUCUCUCCGGAAGAACAAUACUUGGGAGUUGGCGCAAUUACCGAAAGGUAAAAGGGCAAUCAGAUGCAAGUGGGUAUUCGUAAAGAAAGAUGGAUCUCCUAGCAAGAAGGAUAUUCGCUACAAGGCAAGAUUGGUAGCUAAAGGCUACGCUCAGAAGGAGGGAAUUGACUACAAUGAUGUAUUUUCCCCUGUUGUGAAGCAUUCCUCCAUUAGAAUUUUGUUGGCCUUGGUAGCACAGUUGAAUUUGGAGCUAGCUCAACUUGAUGUUAAGACGGCUUUCUUACAUGGUGAGUUAGAAGAGGAGAUCUAUAUGACUCAGCCCGAAGGAUACACAGAUGCUGGUGGUAGAAAUUGGGUUUGUAAGCUGAACAAAUCGCUAUAUGGAUUGAAGCAAUCCCCGAGGCAGUAGUACAAGCGAUUUGAUAGCUUUAUGAGAAGGCAGAAGUACACAAGAAGCAAAUAUGACAAUUUUGUGUAUUUGCAGAAGCUGCAUGACGGAUCUUUCAUUUAUCUACUCUUGUAUGUUGAUGAUAUGUUAAUUGCUUCGAAGAGCCAAAAUGAGAUAGAUAAGCUGAAGGCUCAGUUGAAUUAAGAGUUCGAGAUGAAAGAUCUAGGUGAGACCAAGAAGAUUCUCGGCAUGGAGAUAAGUAGAGAUAGACCGAGAGGCAAGCUCUGUUUAAAUCAGAAGCAAUAUCUGAAAAAGGUAUUACAAUGUUUUGGUGUAAAUGAAAACACAAAACAUGUAAGUACCCCACUUGCUUCUCAUUUGAAACUUAGUGCUCAAUUAUCUCCGAAGACUGAAGAUGAAAGAGAAUAUAUGGCGAAAGUCCCAUAUGCUAAUGCAGUUGGGAGUUUGAUGUAUGCGAUGGUGUGUACGAGGCCUGACAUUUCACAAGCUGUUGGAGUUGUGAGCAGGUAUAUGCAUGAUCCUGGAAAAGGACAUUGGCAAGCUGUGAAAUGGAUUCUACGGUAUCUUCGAAAAACCGUAGAUGUUGGUUUAAUUUUUGAAUAGGAUGAAGCACUUGGUCAGUUUGUAGUUGGAUAUGUUGAUUCCGACUUUGUUGGUGAUUUAGAUAAACGUCGUUCAACUACGGGGUAUCUGUUUACUCUUGCGAAAGCCCCAAUGAGUUGGAAGUCUACCUUACAGUCUACAGUAGCUGUGUCUACUAUAGAGGCAGAAUAUAUGGCAGUUACAGAAGCUGUUAAGGAGGCUAUUUGGCUUAAUGGAUUGUUGAAAGACUUAGGAGUUGUUCAAAGUCACAUAAGUUUAUAUUGUGACAGUCAGAGCGCUAUUCAUUUAGCGAAAAAUCAAGUCUAUCAUUCAAGAACCAAACAUAUCGACGUAAGAUAUCACUUUGUGCGGGAAGUCUUUGAAAAAGGAAAAAUUCUACUUCAGAAGAUUCCAACAGCAGAUAAUCCCGCAGAUAUGAUGACCAAAGUGGUAACAACAAUCAAGUUUAAUCAUUGUUUGAACUUGAUUAACAUCCUGAGAAUUUGAGCACCUUCAGGUGUAUGGCGCUCGAGAGCGCAUUUGGAGGCACUACAAAAGAUAGCUUUAUCAAAUUUGGGGAGUUGAAGGAAGUGUGUGAAGAUGUGAUUAUCCUAAUCAAAUCUUCAAGGUGGAGAUUGUUAACAUUAUGAUUAAUGGCAGACAAUUUUAAUUGAAAACAAUCCAAGUGGUGCAAGUUUAGCACCCUAAAGUUGACUUUGAAAAAGUGGCAUAGGAUAAUUUUUUUUUGGUCCUUGAGAUAAUGGGCUAUUUAUUGUUUGGUCCUUGAACCUCAACUAUAAAUAGGCCUUCUCAUUUCUCAUUUCAAUUCAUCCUAACCAAUCUUUCUCUCUUAGUUUUCUCUCUUCUCUCAUUUGAGAAUUCUUAAGGAAUUCUAUUUGUUUGUAAUAUUUUGGAGAUAGUAAAGUUAUCAUCUGGUUUUAGUAGCCCGAGGACGUAGGUAUAAUUUACCGAACCUCGUUAAAACUCUUGUGUUUUUUUGUCCUAUUUUUCUUUCAAUAAUUGAGGGUAUAAUAGUAGUAUUUAAUUGUGCUAUUAAAUUACGUUAGAAGGAAUAUUCUGACUAAGGAAAGACUUGGUAUUUAAGAGAUCCUUGUGAUCCACCUCUCUUCCCUGGGAAUUGAACUUUGUGUGAUUUUUUAGUACAAUACUUUACACGCUUCCGACCCUAUUGGAACUACAAUAUUUACUUCGAUACAUGCACUUACAUACAACAUAAUUGAUUCAAUUUAUCGAAUGAUGCACCAUAUAAUACUUGGUGUAGUUUGCCCUGACUUAGCAAUUUGGCUUUUGGUUAAAAAAGAAA